UGGGAAUGCGAACAUGAGUAAGGUUAAGGGGAGUAAAAACCCCCCACGCCGGAAGACCAAGGUUUCCUGUCCCAUGCUAAUCAGGGCAGGGUAAGUCGGCCCCUAAGGCGAGGCAGAAAUGCGUAGUCGAUGGGAAACGGAUUAAUAUUUCCGUACCUUGGAUAGCUGCGAUGGAGAGACGGAGAAGGCUAGGUGAGCCGGGCGACGGUUGUCCCGGUUUAAGCAUGUAGGCAGUGGGAUUAGGCAAAUCCGGUCCCACAAUGCCGAGACGCGACGACGACUGCCCUUUUAGGGCGGGAAGUCAUUGAUGCCCUGCUUCCAGGAAAAUCUUCUAAGCUUCAGGCUAUUCGAGACCGUACCCCAAACCGACACAGGUGGUCAGGUAGAGAAUACCAAGGCGCUUGAGAGAACUCGGGUAAAGGAACUAGGCAAAAUGGUGCCGUAACUUCGGGAGAAGGCACGCCGGUGGUAUGUGACGCCCUUCGCGGGUUGAGCAGAAGCCGGUCGAAGAUACCAGGCCCCUGCUACUGUUUAUUAAAAACACAGCACUGUGCAAACACGAAAGUGGACGUAUACGGUGUGACGCCUGCCCGGUGCCGG
rnacentral:rRNA from 13 species